rnacentral:rRNA from 1 species
UGGGGAAUUUUGGACAAUGGGCGAAAGCCUGAUCCAGCAAUGCCGCGUGUGUGAAGAAGGCCUUCGGGUUGUAAAGCACUUUUGUCCGGAAAGAAAUCCUUGGCUCUAAUACAGUCGGGGGAUGACGGUACCGGAAGAAUAAGCACCGGCUAACUACGUGCCAGCAGCCGCGGUAAUACGUAGGGUGCAAGCGUUAAUCGGAAUUACUGGGCGUAAAGCGUGCGCAGGCGGUUUGCUAAGACCGAUGUGAAAUCCCCGGGGCUCAACCUGGGAACUGCAUUGGUGACUGGCAGGCUAGAGUAUGGCAGAGGGGGGUAGAAUUCCACGUGUAGCAGUGAAAUGCGUAGAGAUGUGGAGGAAUACCGAUGGCGAAGGCAGCCCCCUGGGCCAAUACUGACGCUCAUGCACGAAAGCGUGGGGAGCAAACAGGAUUAGAUACCCUGGUAGUCCAGCGCCCUAAACGAUGUCAACUAGUUGUUGGGGAUUCAUUCCUUAGUAACGUAGCUAACGCGUGAAGUUGACCGCCUGGGGAGUACGGUCGCAAGAUUAAAACUCAAAUGAAUUGACGGGGUCAUAGCUG